rnacentral:rRNA from 1 species
UACCAACCCGAUGCAAACUGCGAAUACCGGAGAAUGUUAUCACGGGAGACACACGGCGGGUGCUAACGUCCGUCGUGAAGAGGGAAACAACCCAGACCGCCAGCUAAGGUCCCAAAGUCAUGGUUAAGUGGGAAACGAUGUGGGAAGGCCCAGACAGCCAGGAUGUUGGCUUAGAAGCAGCCAUCAUUUAAAGAAAGCGUAAUAGCUCACUGGUCGAGUCGGCCUGCGCGGAAGAUGUAACGGGGCUAAACCAUGCACCGAAGCUGCGGCAGCGACGCUGAUGCGUUGUUGGGUAGGGGAGCGUUCUGUAAGCCUGCGAAGGUGUGCUGUGAGGCAUGCUGGAGGUAUCAGAAGUGCGAAUGCUGACAUAAGUAACGAUAAAGCGGGUGAAAAGCCCGCUCGCCGGAAGACCAAGGGUUCCUGUCCAACGUUAAUCGGGGCAGGGUGAGUCGACCCCUAAGGCGAGGCCGAAAGGCGUAGUCGAUGGGAAACAGGUUAAUAUUCCUGUACUUGGUGUUACUGCGAAGGGGGGACGGAGAAGGCUAUGUUGGCCGGGCGACGGUUGUCCCGGUUUAAGCGUGUAGGCUGGUUUUCCAGGCAAAUCCGGAAAAUCAAGGCUGAGGCGUGAUGACGAGGCACUACGGUGCUGAAGCAACAAAUGCCCUGCUUCCAGGAAAAGCCUCUAAGCAUCAGGUAACAUCAAAUCGUACCCCAAACCGACACAGGUGGUCAGGUAGAGAAUACCAAGGCGCUUGAGAGAACUCGGGUGAAGGAACUAGGCAAAAUGGUGCCGUAACUUCGGGAGAAGGCACGCUGAUAUGUAGGUGAAGUCCCUUGCGGAUGGAGCUGAAAUCAGUCGAAGAUACCAGCUGGCUGCAACUGUUUAUUAAAAACACAGCACUGUGCAAACACGAAAGUGGACGUAUACGGUGUGACGCCUGCCCGGUGCCGGAAGGUUAAUUGAUGGGGUCAGCGCAAGCGAAGCUCUUGAUCGAAGCCCCGGUAAACGGCGGCCGUAACUAUAACGGUCCUAAGGUAGCGAAAUUCCUUGUCGGGUAAGUUCCGACCUGCACGAAUGGCGUAAUGAUGGCCAGGCUGUCUCCACCCGAGACUCAGUGAAAUUGAACUCGCUGUGAAGAUGCAGUGUACCCGCGGCAAGACGGAAAGACCCCGUGAACCUUUACUAUAGCUUGACACUGAACAUUGAGCCUUGAUGUGUAGGAUAGGUGGGAGGCUUGGAAGUGUGGACGCCAGUCUGCAUGGAGCCGACCUUGAAAUACCACCCUUUAAUGUUUGAUGUUCUAACGUUGACCCGUAAUCCGGGUUGCGGACAGUGUCUGGUGGGUAGUUUGACUGGGGCGGUCUCCUCCUAAAGAGUAACGGAGGAGCACGAAGGUUGGCUAAUCCUGGUCGGACAUCAGGAGGUUAGUGCAAUGGCAUAAGCCAGCUUGACUGCGAGCGUGACGGCGCGAGCAGGUGCGAAAGCAGGUCAUAGUGAUCCGGUGGUUCUGAAUGGAAGGGCCAUCGCUCAACGGAUAAAAGGUACUCCGGGGAUAACAGGCUGAUACCGCCCAAGAGUUCAUAUCGACGGCGGUGUUUGGCACCUCGAUGUCGGCUCAUCACAUCCUGGGGCUGAAGUAGGUCCCAAGGGUAUGGCUGUUCGCCAUUUAAAGUGGUACGCGAGCUGGGUUUAGAACGUCGUGAGACAGUUCGGUCCCUAUCUGCCGUGGGCGCUGGAGAACUGAGGGGGGCUGCUCCUAGUACGAGAGGACCGGAGUGGACGCAUCACUGGUGUUCGGGUUGUCAUGCCAAUGGCACUGCCCGGUAGCUAAAUGCGGAAGAGAUAAGUGCUGAAAGCAUCUAAGCACGAAACUUGCC